UCUGUCUUGUGCUUGCAAGAAAUGCAUGU
rnacentral:piRNA from 1 species